rnacentral:rRNA from 1 species
GCAUAUCAAUAAGCGGAGGAAAAGAAACCAACAGGGAUUGCCCCAGUAACGGCGAGUGAAGCGGCAACAGCUCAAAUUUGAAAUCUGGCCCCUAGGGUCCGAGUUGUAAUUUGCAGAGGAUGCUUUUGGCGAGGCGCCUUCCGAGUUCCCUGGAACGGGACGCCAUAGAGGGUGAGAGCCCCGUCUGGUCGGAUGCCAAGCCUAUGUAAAGCUCCUUCGACGAGUCGAGUAGUUUGGGAAUGCUGCUCAAAAUGGGAGGUAUAUGUCUUCUAAAGCUAAAUAUUGGCCAGAGACCGAUAGCGCACAAGUAGAGUGAUCGAAAGAUGAAAAGCACUUUGAAAAGAGGGUUAAAAAGUACGUGAAAUUGUUGAAAGGGAAGCGCCUAUGACCAGACUUGGGCCCGGUGAAUCAUCCAGCGUUCUCGCUGGUGCACUUUGCCGGGCACAGGCCAGCAUCAGUUUGGCGCGGGGGAUAAAGGCUUUGGGAAUGUGGCUCCCUCGGGAGUGUUAUAGCCCAUUGUGUAAUACCCUGCGCCGGACUGAGGUACGCGCAUUGCAAGGAUGCUGGCGUAAUGGUCAUCAGCGACCCGUCUUGAAACACGGACC